rnacentral:tRNA from 5 species
GCGGCCAUCGUUCAAUGGCAGGACAUUGGGUUGUGGUCCCAAGAACGAGGGUUCGAUUCCCUCUGGUCGCCCA